AAUUACUUAUGUAAUAUAAAUAAUAAUUAUAUUUAACUUCCAAUUAAAAAAUCUAAUUUUUAGUAUAAGUA
rnacentral:tRNA from 2 species